GACUCUCCUCAAGUCCUGAAGUCGUACCUGUUGUGUGGCCCCAAUCUGCCUGCAUUUUGAAACCAUCAAAUGGGCUAAUAUCCCUGCACUUUUUCUACUGAGUACAUCUGCUACCACAUUACCCUUACCCGGGUGAUACAAGAUAUCGCAAUCAUAGUCCUUAAGAAGUUAUAUCCACCUUAUCACGCAUGUUGAGAUCAUUUUGAGUGAAUAUAUGUUUCAAACUCUUGUAAUCGGUGUAGAUCUGAAAGGUCUCUCUAUACAAAUAAUGGCGCCAAGUCUUCAAGACGUGCAUGAU
rnacentral:lncRNA from 1 species